rnacentral:rRNA from 1 species
UACGUAGGGUGCGAGCGUUAAUCGGAAUUACUGGGCGUAAAGCGUGCGCAGGCGGUUUUGUAAGCCAGAUGUGAAAUCCCCGGGCUUAACCUGGGAAUGGCAUUUGGGACUGCAAGGCUGGAGUUUGGCAGAGGAGACUGGAAUCCUGGUGUAGCAGUGAAAUGCGUAGAUAUCAGGAGGAAUACCGAUGCGAAGGCAGGUCUCUGGGCUGAAACUGACGCUCAUGCACGAAAGCGUGGGGAGCAAACAGG